CCACUAUAUUCAUUGGUAAAUUUUUUGACUCAUAUCCAGCAGUACAAUAAUUGCUUUCAAAUGACAUCAUUUGGGGCAACAAAAGUUAUACGAGACAAUUUUAUGCCUACUUUUAGUAAAUUCAGGGAUUCAAAUAUAUCAUCAAACAGGUUCCUUAUUGCCAGUGCCUGUUGAAGACUAUACAUUUUUGCAAAUAUAUUUUAUGGACAAUUCAGCAAGAGAAGUCGAUCAGCGUUGCGCACACAACAACUCAGUAAAAAGAUCCAUUGUGAUGAACAACUUCAAACAUUUUUCCAUCAACACAAUGAAUUAGUUGCAUUAUUCACAAAUGCAUUAGACCGCAUGCCAUCAGAUAAUCACAAAAUUGUCAUCAGAGCCGAUAAGGCGCACGCAGGACAAAAUACUGGACAUUUUAAUGUGCCAACGAUUGUAUAUAGCUCAAUAUUUACUUAAAAAUGCCAAGUUCUUCAAUAGCGAUUUGUAAAAAUAUUAGUGAAAUUUUUGAAUCCUAUGGAAUAAUCACUAUUAUGAAAAUA